rnacentral:miRNA from 1 species
GAGUAUGUAUAUAUAUACACAUAUGUAUGUAUAUGUGUAUAUAUAUAUAUACAUAUACAUAUAUGUGUAUAUACAUAUACAUACACACAUAUGUAUAUACAUAUGUGUAUGUAUA